rnacentral:tRNA from 1 species
AUAGAUGUGGUGAAAAUAAACACAAUUGACUUAGAAUCAAUAUCCUGUAGGUUAUACCCCUACCAUCUAAA